AAUGUGCCCAUUUACUUUUGGCUCACAAUGCUCCAGUCAAGGUGAAAAAUGCUCAGGGAUGGAGCCCUCUGGCGGAAGCCAUCAGCUAUGGAGAUAGACAGAUGAUUACAGCUCUUUUGAGGAAGCUUAAGCAGCAAUCCAGGGAAAGUGUUGAAGAAAAACGACCUCGAUUAUUAAAAGCCCUGAAAGAGUGCCUUUACUUUCCCGAAUUCUGCCUUCUGAUGCAUGUAAAAUAUACAAACAAGGUAUCAAUAUCAGACUAUCUAGAAGGCAAACAGUGAGGAUCUUGAUGUAAUAUUAAGAAGAUUUACAGUGGUUACCUUCCUGAUCCUGGAUUUAUUAAGGAAUAAGGGACACAUAAGGAAGACCCAAUUCUUGCCUUUUUCUCCAUCUCUUUCAUAUCUUUCCUUCCCCUGUUUACUCAUCCGUGCAUCCGUUCAUCUGUUCAUUCAUUGAUCUAUCCAUUCCAGUGAAUACUUUGAGGCUAAUUUUAAUUUCCUUCUAUUCUGUUCCUUUUAUAACUAAGAUUAA
rnacentral:sRNA from 1 species